rnacentral:rRNA from 1 species
GGGGAUUUUGCGCAUGGGCGAANCCUGNGCACAACGCCGCGUGAGGGACGAAGGCCUUCUGGGUUGUAAACCUCUUUCAGCAGGGACGAUUAUGACGGUACCUGCAGAAGAAGCCCCGGCCAACUACGUGCCAGCAGCCGCGGUAAUACGUAGGGGGCGAGCGUUGUCCGGAUUUAUUGGGCGUAAAGAGCUCGUAGGCGGCUUUGCAAGUCGGGUGUGAAAACUCCAGGCUCAACCUGGAGCCGCCACUCGAUACUGCAAUGGCUUGAGUCCGGUAGGGGACCAUGGAAUUCCUGGUGUAGCGGUGAAAUGCGCAGAUAUCAGGAAGAACACCAGUGGCGAAGGCGGUGGUCUGGGCCGGUACUGACGCUGAGGAGCGAAAGCGUGGGGAGCGAACAGGAUUAGAUACCCUGGUAGUCCACGCCGUAAACGUUGGGCACUAGGUGUGGGGACCUAUCGACGGUUUCCGUGCCGCAGCUAACGCAUUAAGUGCCCCGCCUGGGGAGUACGGCCGCAAGGCUAAAACUCAAAGGAAUUGACGGA